UACGAAGGGGGCUAGCGUUGUUCGGAAUUACUGGGCGUAAAGCGCACGUAGGCGGAUUGUUAAGUCAGGGGUGAAAUCCUGGAGCUCAACUCCAGAACUGCCUUUGAUACUGGCAAUCUUGAGUCCGGAAGAGGUGAGUGGAACUCCUAGUGUAGAGGUGGAAUUCGUAGAUAUUAGGAAGAACACCAGUGGCGAAGGCGGCUCACUGGUCCGGUACUGACGCUGAGGUGCGAAAGCGUGGGGAGCAAACAGGG
rnacentral:rRNA from 1 species